rnacentral:rRNA from 1 species
UGGGGAAUAUUGGACAAUGGGCGAAAGCCUGAUCCAGCCAUGCCGCGUGUGUGAAGAAGGUCUUCGGAUUGUAAAGCACUUUAAGUUGGGAGGAAGGGCAGUUACCUAAUACGUGAUUGUUUUGACGUUACCCUCAGAAGCAGCACCGGCUAACUCCGUGCCAGCAGCCGCGGUAAUACGAAGGGGGCUAGCGUUGUUCGGAUUUACUGGGCGUAAAGCGCGUGUAGGCGGGUCGUUAAGUUGGGGGUGAAAUCCCGAGGCUCAACCUCGGAACUGCCUUCAAAACUGGCGACCUGGACUCAAGUAGAGGCAAGUGGAAUUGCGAGUGUAGAGGUGAAAUUCGUAGAUAUUCGCAGGAACACCAGUGGCGAAGGCGACUUGCUGGAUUUGUAGUGACGCUGAGACGCGAAAGCGUGGGGAGCAAACAGGAUUAGAUACCCUAGUAGUCCCUGAGCGGGCUGGCAAGGCGCAU